GCAUAGGACCUGACAAGAGUGCGAGGUAAUACGUGAGUGGCAAGAGUUGUACGGAAUAAUUGGGCGGAAAGCGCGCGCAAGGGGUCCGUUAAGUCUGAUGUGAAAGCCCACGGCUCAACCGUGGAGGGACAGUGGAAACUGGGGGACUUGAGUGCAGAAGAGGAAAGCGGAAUUCCACGUGUAGCGGUGAAAUGCGUAGAGAUGUGGAGGAACACCAGUGGCGAAGGCGGCUUUCUGGUCUGUAACUGACGCUGAGGCGCGAAAGCGUGGGGAGCAAACAGGAUUAGAUACCCUAUAGUC
rnacentral:rRNA from 1 species